AGAGCUUGCUCUUAUGAAGUUAGCGGCGGACGGGUGAGUAACACGUGGGUAACCUGCCCAUAAGACUGGAUAACUCCGGAAACCGGGCUAAUACCGGAUAACAUUUUGAACCGCAUGGUUCGAAAUUGAAAGGCGGCUUCGGCUGUCACUUAUGGAUGGACCCGCGUCGCAUUAGCUAGUUGGUGAGGUAACGGCUCACCAAGGCAACGAUGCGUAGCCGACCUGAGAGGGUGAUCGGCCACACUGGGACUGAGACACGGCCCAGACUCCUACGGGAGGCAGCAGUAGGAAUCUUCCGCAAUGGACGAAAGUCUGACGGAGCAACGCCGCGUGAGUGAUGAAGCUUUCGGGUCGUAAAACUCUGUUGUUAGGGAAGAACAAGUGCUAGUUGAAUAAGCUGGCACCUUGACGGUACCUAACCAGAAAGCCACGGCUAACUACGUGCCAGCAGCCGCGGUAAUACGUAGUGGCAAGCGUUAUCCGGAAUUAUUGGGCGUAAAGCGCGCGCAGUGGUUUCUUAAGUCUGAUGUGAAAGCCCACGGCUCAACCGUGAGGUCAUUGAAACUGGAGACUUGAGUGCAGAAGAGAAAGUG
rnacentral:rRNA from 1 species